AACGCGAAGAACCUUACCAAAUCUUGACAUCCCGAUGACAGGCUGUGUAAUGCAGCUUCUCUUCGGAGCAUCGGUGACAGGUGGUGCAUGGUUGUCGUCAGCUCGUGUCGUGAGAUGUUGGGUUAAGUCCCGCAACGAGCGCAACCCUUGUCUUUAGUAGCCAGCAUUUAGGAUGGACACUCUAGGGAGACUGCCAGGGAUAACCUGGAGGAAGGUGGGGAUGACGUCAAAUCAUCAUGCCCCUUAUGAUUUGGGCUACACACGUGCUACAAUGGCGUAAACAAAGAGAAGCAAAGGAGUGAUCCGGAGCAAAUCUCAAAAAUAACGUCUCAGUUCGGAUUGUAGUCUGCAACUCGACUACAUGAAGCUGGAAUCGCUAGUAAUCGCGAAUCAGAAUGUCGCGGUGAAUACGUUCCCGGGUCUUGUACACACGC
rnacentral:rRNA from 1 species